ACGUAGGUGCUGCAUGGUUGUCGUCAGCUCGUGCCGUGAGGUGUCGGGUUAAGUCCCAUAACGAGCGCAACCCUACCUUUAGUUGCCAUCAGGUUAAGCUGGGGACUCUAAAGGAACUGCCUACGCAAGUAGUGAGGAAGCGGGGAUGACGUCAAAUCAGCACGGCCCUUACGUCCAGGGCUACACACGUGCUACAAUGGCCGAUACAGAGGGCAGCUACCUGGUGACAGGAUGCAAAUCUCCAAAGUCGGUCUCAGUUCGGAUCGGAGUCUGCAACCCGACUCCGUGAAGUUGGAUUCGCUAGUAAUCGCGCAUCAGCCAUGGCGCGGUGAAUACGUUCCCGGGCCUU
rnacentral:rRNA from 1 species